CCCGCUGAACUUAAGCAUAUCAAUAAGCGGAGGAAAAGAAACUAACAAGGAUUCCCCUAGUAACUGCGAGUGAAGCGGGAAGAGCUCAAAUUUAAAAUCUGGCAGUUCCCUGAGCUGUCCGAGUUGUAAUCUAGAGAAGUGCUUUCCGUGCUGGACCGUGUACAAGUCUCUUGGAAUGGAGCGUCAUAGAGGGUGAGAAUCCCGUCUUUGACAUGGACUACCAGCGCUUCUGUGAUGCACUCUCGAAGAGUCGAGUUGUUUGGGAAUGCAGCUCAAAAUGGGUGGUAAAUUCCAUCUAAAGCUAAAUAUGGGCGAGAGACCGAUAGCGAACAAGUACCGUGAGGGAAAGAUGAAAAGAACUUUGAAAAGAGAGUUAAACAGUACGUGAAAUUGUUGAAAGGGAAACGUUUCAAGUCAGUCGCGUUGGCUGGUAAUCAACCUUUGCAAUCUUGCUGGGCUUACUUUCCAGUCGACGGGUCAGCAUCAAUUUUGACUGUCAGAUAAAGGCGUGGGGAAUGUGGCAUCCUCGGAUGUGUUAUAGCCCCUUGUCAGAUGUGAUGGUUGGGAUUGAGGAACUCAGCAUGCCUUUACUGGUCGGGGCCUACGCCCACGUAACAUGCUCAGGAUGCUGGCAUAAUGGCUUGAACCGACCCGUCUUGAAACACGG
rnacentral:rRNA from 1 species